rnacentral:RNase_P_RNA from 1 species
CGAAGGGGAAGAGAUGGCCGCUCCUCUUAAGAGCCCAUCACCGGGUCUUGAGAGGGGAGGAAAGUCCGAGCUCCAGAGGGCAGGGUGGUCCGUAACACGGACUGCCCCGCCUCGUAAGGGGCGGGGUAAGGAAAGUGCCACAGAAAAGAUACCGUUCCGACGAAAGUCGGAAUAAGGGUGAAAAGGCGAGGUAAGAGCUCACCAGUACCCCGAGCGAUCGGGGUAGCUUGGUAAACCCCACCCGGAGCAAGACCAAAUAGGUCCCGCUCUCCGCCAAAGGCGGAGCGAGAAGGGCCCAUUCGAAUCUGUUCGGACAACAAGUAGGACAGAGGCGGGACGGGUCAGGUCGCUUGAGGCUCUGAGCAAUCAGAGUCCCAGAUAAAUGGCCAUCGUUCCGAUCCUGCUGAAGGCAGGAGAGGGAUACAGAACUCGGCUUAUGGUCCCCUUCGAUCC